UUUCUUCUAUUCUUCUAUACGUUAGUGUUCUAACCAAUAAUCACCAAUGCGAUGUUCUGUCCGAUCGAUUCAGGAACCAUCUAAUAAAUGCCAAAGUGCUGUACCUUGUGAAUUUCGGUAAACGGAAUCCAAAGUGCUAUACAUUAUGAAUUUUGUUAAGGUUCGAAUCUCGUGACUACCGUUAAGGUUUGAUUUGGGUUUUACACAAAUACGUAUUCCAUUCUAUGUUUAACUACCAGAAUACUCCCAACUACACACUUACAAUCAAACAAGCUGUUAAAUCACCAGAAGAUUUAGAACAAUAAAGUAUACUCUUAAUUAUCAGAAGGAGUAGAAUCAAGAAGCUUGUUAAAUCAAUACUGCAUGCUUAUGAAGGAUUAAGUCUUUGUUAAUCUUAAGUUACUGGCAGUAAGUGGGGUAUUGUGCAUAUUACUACUGUUUAUCACUUUAGGUGAGCUAGCCUAAUUAGUGAUAUACGUCACUUUUGGGUGACAGGACCCAAUAGUGAUAUGACCACAGUCAUAGAUCCGGUCGAGUGACAACUGGACCAGAUAACUAUAAGAAAGAGACAAUUGUAAUCGCUCUUAAUACUGUAAAUUAUAACAAAUAUGUUUUUGUAUAAAAAAGAAUGAACUCACUCAGUAUUUCCCGCUGACAAAACCUUUUUAAAACGUGUUUCAGGUAAUUACAGUAGAUCGGAAUAAGAGAUGGAUACGGCACCAAAAGGCUUACAGAAGUGGCUUGAUUUAUCAAUUAAAUUAAAUUAAGAAUUACCAUUUUAUGUAUUCGGGUUUAUUCCAUUUUAAAAGCUACCUUUAUAAAAACAUGGAUUUAUCCCAUCUAUUAAUAAAUAAAAUCCGGUGUUUCUAAACUCUGAUAUUUUUCCUAACUCACGGUCCUGAUGAAAUUUCCGCUGCAAUGUUUUCAAAAUAAAUAACCACCGGUACCACUUGGCUGCUCGCGGCUCCCGAUUCCGUCCAGGGUGGAUCGGGGGUCGUGACAUCUACUAAGAGUAUUUUUGUCAUAUAUUUGAGUUAAGGCCAGCCAGUUAAACAUUUUGUUUUUACUUCCAUGUUUGUGCGAAACUUUUCGAGUAACUUCGUUAUUACAAUGUUCUCUUUGGAAUUAUUUUCCCCUGCACAAUAACAAUGUUCUUUGAUACAUGAAAGUUGACAGACAUAACAAUAUGUACUGUAUCUGAGUAUUCACAUGUAUGUACUGUACUUUUACCUUCACACUAUACCAUAUAUGUCAUGUACUAUAUUUUUGUUACAAUGCAAAUCAGAGAUAGAAAUAAAGCACAUACUCAAUGAAGUAGAAUAUAACUUGUAUGUUCCUUUUUUUUAACACAAUGGUCUUAUAUAUGUACGUGAUGAUUUGAUUUUAAUACAAUGGUCUUA
rnacentral:lncRNA from 1 species